rnacentral:rRNA from 1 species
UACGGGGGGGGCAAGCGUUGUUCGGAAUUACUGGGCGUAAAGGGCGCGUAGGCGGCCUGCUAAGUCGGAUGUGAAAUCCCUCGGCUCAACCGAGGAACUGCAUCCGAUACUGGCGGGCUUGAAUCCGGGAGAGGGAUGUGGAAUUCCAGGUGUAGCGGUGAAAUGCGCAGAUAUCAGGAGGAACACCAAUGGCGAAGGCAGCUCGCUGGGACGUGACUGACGCUGAGACGCGAAAGCGUGGGGAGCAAACAGG